UGGCAAAUCUGGUAUGCCUUUCAAGUAGAAAGUGUAGAACAACUUAAAGGGAAAUAUCAGCUGUUGUAGCUUCACCUGUCCAUACACUCCUUCGAAAAUGCCAGAGCCACCAGUGACAGCGAGGUAAGUGUCCUCGUAAGUUAAGUACUGUCCCUGCACACAUAUGUGACCAUAGUCUCCAAAGUAGAAGCUGAAUGUCGCCUCAUAACGAUCACCUUUCUUUUCCGGUACAUUCUGGAUCAGAACGCAUAGUCCUGCUGUUAUUCCCACACGUUUCUGCAAGUCUCCGGUAUAGAUCUGUAAUAAUCAUUUUUUAGUACUUGUUGCAGUGGGAUUGGUUUACAUAGAAAUUGUUAUGUUUUAUUACAACCUAUUUUCUGUCUAUAAAAUUGAUAAACCAAACUAUUAAUCACCGUUUAAACAGAGCAUAAAUCACAUACUAGAUUAUUUGUAGGCUAAUUAGUUUGUUUUUGAAUGAAAACACUUGUAAAAGGAUUAAAAUUGAUUACUUUGUUGCUGAAAGGAACGAGAUCGCCCAAGGAAUUGACGGAUUUCUGGCUUAGACGAAGAUAGGCAGGGCUGCCACGGUCUCUCUCGUUGAUUUCAUAGACACACAG
rnacentral:lncRNA from 1 species